rnacentral:rRNA from 1 species
UACGGAGGGUGCAAGCGUUGUUCGGAAUUACUGGGCGUAAAGCGCGUGUAGGCGGCCGAUUAAGUCUGGUGUGAAAGCCCGGGGCUCACCCCCGGAAGUGCGCUGGAAACUGGUCGGCUAGGGUAUGGGAGAGGAAAGUGGAAUUCCCGGUGUAGCGGUGAAAUGCGUAGAGAUCGGGAGGAACAUCUGUGGCGAAGGCGGCCACCUGGACCAACACUGACACUGAGGCACGAAAGCGUGGGGAGCAAACAGG